CCGUCCAAUCACAUCGCUAUAGACCGUACACAAUCCUAGAUUUGUUUGUGUUACAACCCGUACAUUCGAUGCUAACUUUAUUUCGAUAUUUUGCAAAACGUAGUCAAGACAGAAUCAUGCUGAAUGUCAUUUUCAAUUUAGGAGACGUAUAUGUUUCUACUCAAACAGGCAGAAAGGUAUAUAUUAUCCGUGUUUAUCUGUAAAAUGUGCAAAUUUGAUACGACAGUCACAUCGACAGCUGAUUUCACGCAGAGUUUUGAUAUAAAAGUAUCAUUUCCCAUGUGUAUUUUUAACUUCUAAAUCUACAUAAUAUCAAGAGUUUAUUUAGGAGACACCGUUACGUUGGGAUAUGUCCAAUACAUAAUAUAACUACCUAAUUUCAGCUUUAAAACUUAUCUUGCUCUCUGCUUUUUACCUUAACGCCUCGCUUCAGCUAUCGCAACAUCCGGUAGCCGUACAGUUGAGUUCGCACACAGUGGUCAUGAAAUGAAAAGACCCUCAAGAUGCCGAAAGUCAACACCACUGGAUAUGGCGUGACAUGGUGACAUUGAUUUGACCUUAAUCUACGUUGCGGGUGACGUCGACGAAGCAGAAGACGCUUAGCAUUCCGGAACACCUCUUGUUUUAUUGUUAAUUUUUCAAUGAUCUACAGGUUGAUGAAAUAAUGUUUGGUGAGCGAGCCCUUGACAUGGUUACUCUAACACUGGUUGACUAGCGACAGGUAGGCACAAGACAUGGCGUCAGUAGUCACAUAGACACGACUAGGCACGGUGAUAGUGUAUCCACACACAUAGCCUAGCUCAUCUAUCACCACCACCGACACCACAUUGUAAGCCCCGACAGGAUCAAUAACCGGUUCGUUAAAGUUGAUAAGAUUCGCAAGAAUCCAAAGGAAACCACUGAAUAUCAAAUUCAAUCAACGCAAAAUUUCAUUGCUCAAUCAUAGCGGGAGGGGACGCACAAAGUGUAAGAGCCAAGUAUUCACCAACGACCCAAAUCUGCCAAAGUCGCUGACACUAAAAUAAACAAUUUCGCCGACAUGAGCUCCGCCUAUCGGAGCUGGCAGUUACUAUCCACCAAUGAGAGAAGUGCUGGCAAGCGACCUUGCAGGACAAUGACUGGGUAAUUGAUAUGUAAAGCGAGAAGGUUGUGAUCCGUGAGGGUUGUUUGAAAUGUGUGUCAGAUUAAGCUAAUACAUCAGUCAUGCAUAUUAUGCUCAUCUGGAUUUCCUCGGAGACGAGAGGCCAAUAUUUCCUACGUUAAGAUGUCAAGCAUUCUCAACAAAGGACGUGCAAUCCGGAUUACUGCAUUUGUUCGGGAAACAGACAACGCGAGAAGGCAGGCCAAGUUGGCCUAGCACGUAUGUGACUGUGUUAUUUAUGUAUAACGGAAGCCUACAUAGCCAUUGUUGUUUGUGCCUUCUUACUAAUGUAUAUUGUACUGGCUGCAAGAGGGUUUUCCUUUUCCUCGCCUCUUCGAAUUUACAGCCACGACUUAGUUCUUUACGCUUGCCUUGGAAUUUAAUGAUAUGCUUGUGAGGGUCGGUGAUUACCGCAAGGUGACGCUGUGUACGGGAUUUUCCCAGAUAAAAGGUACUAAAUUCUAA